rnacentral:misc_RNA from 1 species
AACGCAAAUUGCGCUCGAGGCCUCGGCCAAGAGCAUGUCUGCCUCAGCGUCGGGUUAAAACUCAUCGCAUCCAUCCAUGUGGUGGUUGUACGGUGGAACUGGCUGUCCUGCCGAUCUUCGUACAUGUACAAGAGAAGCGGGUCAGCUGAAGCGAAGCUGUUGCUGAUGGACCCUACUAUGGGCCUCUACUGGGUAGGCAACUCGUUUGCUGUAAUGCUUUAGUAGGUGGCUUUGGGACUGUGAGCAGCACAAACCAGGAAUAUGCUCUUCAUGAGCAUAAACCCUCCUUUUCUCGACCUGAGCUCAGGCAAGAUUACCCGCUGAACUUAA